CCAACGAAGACUCUACUUCUGGGUGGGCCAUGGUAGCAGCAGGCCAUUACUCCACUGGGACACAGAAAAUAAACAAGUAUUAAAAAAAAAAGAAAAAGAAAAUAAACAAGUAAAUUAGUUUUGUUUUUAUUUUUUUCCCCUCUUUGAAGACUUUAGAGCUCUGUGAUGCAGUGCAGACUAGCUUACCUGAAAUGCUGAAGAACGAGCCCUUGCCGGAGAAUUUCUGGCAUAUAAUAAAAGAACAAUUAUGGGACAUGCAAGGAAUCAGAAAAAUGUGACUGAUCAUCAAGAAAAAACAAAACAAGUAGAUCUCCAGAUGACCCAAAUGUAGAAGUAAGCAGAAGGAACUUUAAAACAAUUUUUAUGAAUACAUAAAAACAGAGGAAAAGCAGAAAACAGGGGAGACACUAUAACCAUACGGAAACAGACUGGGUAACCAAGAGAAAGACACUUGACGGGAGUGGUGUGAGAUGACAGAUCUGAACACUACUUGUUAGAAAACCGCUGGAGGAUGGGAUGUCCCCUUCAGCUACUGCGAACAACCCUACCUACCUCCCAGCCUCCAGGUGAGGUUCCUUUCCUUUCAACUCAGCUUCCCUUUGUUCUUUUUCUGAAUUUACCUCCUCCAAAACCUAUUUUUUUCAUAUUUUUUAACAAGAACUAUAUAGGCCUGUUUUAUGCAAAAUAAUAAAAGAAACAUGAUUAAAUGGAAUCUAAGUUAUUUUAGACAUAAAUCUGAAAAGAAAUAAUCCCAAAAGGUCACCCAGUCCAUCUGCCAGCCUCUAGGCGAGAUGCCACAAACGAAGUCUGGACCCUCAGCUUCCUGUGUUACCGGAAACAAACUGUUGUCUUUGUUUUUAUUUUUGAACCCAAGUCCUUAUUAGUAACAUAAACGUUCCUAGGCAGUGAAAUCCACUCACAUUUUGGUCAUUGAAGUCAAAUUUAAAAUUAAAAAAUGUAAUAUUACGGUUUUAAGGAAAGUUGGAAAUAUUUAGGGAAUGUGUUGAUUAUAUCAUUCUGGUAUGUUUUGCUUGUAUCUCAAGAGACAGAAAAGCCUUUUGUUUUUA